rnacentral:rRNA from 1 species
GAGUUUGAUCAUGGCUCAGAUUGAACGCUGGCGGCAUGCCUUACACACGCAAGUCGAACGGCAGCACGGGAGCUUGCUCCUGGUGGCGAGUGGCGAACGGGUGAGUAAUGCAUCGGAACGUAUCCUGGAGUGGGGGAUAACGUAGCGAAAGUUACGCUAAUACCGCAUAUUCUGUGAGCAGGAAAGCGGGGGACCUUCGGGCCUCGCGCUCUUGGAGCGGCCGAUGUCGGAUUAGCUAGUUGGUGAGGUAAAGGCUCACCAAGGCGACGAUCCGUAGCAGGUCUGAGAGGAUGAUCUGCCACACUGGAACUGAGACACGGUCCAGACUCCUACGGGAGGCAGCAGUGGGAAUUUUGGACAAUGGGGGCAACCCUGAUCCAGCCAUGCCGCGUGAGUGAAGAAGGCC